AGAACGAACGCUGGCGGCACGCCUAAUACAUGCAAGUCGAACGAACUCUUCGGAGUUAGUGGCGCACGGGUGCGUAACGCGUGGGAAUCUGCCCCUUGGUUCGGAAUAACAGUUGGAAACGACUGCUAAUACCGGAUGAUGACGAAAGUCCAAAAGAUUUAUCGCCAAGGGAUGAGCCCGCGUAGGAUUAGCUAGUUGGUGAGGUAAAGGCUCACCAAGGCAACGAUCCUUAGCUGGUCUGAGAGGAUGAUCAGCCACACUGGGACUGAGACACGGCCCAGACCUCCUACGGGGAGGCAGCAGUAGGG
rnacentral:rRNA from 1 species